GGAGGAAAGAGGGUCAAGAAGGAAGAAAAAAAAGCGAGCAAAAAAAAGGCAGAGGAGGGGGCCGGGUGUUUGUUUGUGUUCUGGGGUCAUUUUUAGCCCUGCCUGAAUGCUUUCACUUCGCUCCUCCCCAUUAGCGAAAGGAAGGAGGAAAUUAGACGUUGGUUCCAGAAUGAAUUUAAGGUUUAAUACCCGAGAUUUGGUCCUGCUUUAUUUUUUUAUUGUGGUUUGUAUAUUCCAGCCUUAAAACAUUGAUAUAUGAGGUUAUUUUUAGUAUUAAUUACGAAAGGAAGGAGGAAAUUUGACGUUGGUUCCAGAAUGAAUUUAAGGUUUAAUACCCGAGAUUUGGUCCUGCUUUAUUUUUUUAUUCUGGUUUGUAUAUUCCAGCCUUAAAACAUUGAUAUAUGAGGUUAUUUUUAGUACUAAUUACGAAAGGAAGGAGGAAAUUUGACAUUGGUUCCAGUAUAAAUUUAGGUUAUAUUGACUUGAUCCUACUUUAUUUUUAUUGUGAUUUGUAUAUUUCAACCUAAAAACUGAUAUAUGAAGUUAUUUUUAGUAGUAUUUAGUAGUAUCAACGAAAGGAAGGAGGAAAUUAGACGUUGUUUCCCAGUAUGAAUUUGAUCCUACUCUAUUUUUUAUUGUGAUUUAUAUACUCCAGCCUUAAAACUGAUAUAUGAGACUAUUUUUAGUAGUAUUUAGAAGCAUCAACGCAAGGAAGGAGGAAAUUAGACGUUGGUUCCAGAAUGAAUUUUAGGUUUAAUGCUCGAGAUUUGAUCCUGCUUAUUUUUUAUUGUGAUUUGUAUAUUCCAGCCUUAAAACUGAUAUAUGAGGUUAUUUUUAGUAGUAUUUAGAAGCAUCAACGAAAGGAAGGAGGAAAUUAGACGUUGGUUCCAGAAUUAAUUUUAGGUUUAAUGCUCGAGAUUUGAUCCUGCUUAUUUUUUAUUGUGAUUUAUAUACUCCAGCCUUAAAACUGA